UCCCCAGCUGUUGCUGGACUACAACUCCCAUCAUCCCUGGUCACUGGUCCUGCUAGCUAGGGAUGAUGGGAGUUGUAGUCCAACAACAGCCGGGGC
rnacentral:miRNA from 1 species